rnacentral:rRNA from 1 species
AUGUGUAAGUCCAAGCUGAGUGUUCUUGGGUGAAAGCUCAUGUUCACACGGCGAAACCGCGGACGGCUCAUUAAAUCAGUUGUGUUCUAAAUGUGAAAGAGUUAUCUUACUUGGAUAACUGUGGUAAUUCCAGAGCUAAUACAUGCAACGUAUAGUCUGAAUGGUGUUGUGUGGGUGCUCGCACUCAUACACACACUGUGACGACUGCUUUUAUUAGACCAAACUGCUAAGAGAUGCGCAUGCCCCGUUGUGUGUGUGUCUCUGAGGCUCGUGUUAUGGUGACUCUGGAUAACAACCAAAAAUGACAAGCGCAUGUACCCAUUUGUAUGGGACGGCGCAUCCACUUUCGAGUGUCUGCCUUAUCAGCUAUGUAUCGUUUGUUAUGUGCCACCGAUGGCUUUGACGGGUAACGGGGAAUCAGUGUUCGAUUCCGGAGAGGCAGCCUGAGAAACGGCUACCACGUCCAAGGACGGCAGCAGGCACGCAAAUUACCCAAUCCCAGCAACUGGGGGAGGUAGUGACGGAAUUUAACGAUGCGGGCGCUCCAUCUGGGGCCCCGCAAUCGGAAUGAGCAUUUCUAUUCUAAACACCCUGUUGAGAACCCACUGAAGGGCAAGUCUGGUGCCAGCAGCCGCGGUAAUUCCAGCUUCAGCAGCAUCUAUWAAAGUUGCUGCGGUUAAAAGGCUCGCAGUUGAAUGUCAGUACCAAGUGUAGCGAUGGUGGACGUUGGGGUGUGUAUGAGAGUUCCCUUGUUACGGUUAAGGGUUAAGGUUGAGUUUCACAUAUACUCGCGCUCGUCGUGUUUCGUGUUGUCUCUCUCUCUUUUUUCUCGAUGCUACGCGGGUGUUUGUUCUCUCUACACAUGAAUAGCCCCCGUCCGUAAACAGCCUCCUCACUUUCGUACAGAAGGGAAUCGCAAUGUUUUAUUAUGCUCUUGCAUUACUACCGUGCGUGACAAUAGUUCAUAAUGCACUUUAGCAAACGUUUACUCGGGCGCUUUAGAUCGCGGACGUUCUACACGGGCGGUGUGUGUGUGAGGGUUAUAUGGUGGAGCUUGGUUCCAAUGUUACCUUGAGUAAAUCGGAGUGCUCAAAGCAGUCGUAAGGAAUGUGUGGCCUCGUGCUAUACUUUCUGCUAUGAAUGUCUAUGACAGACAGUCUUGGUUUUGCAGGGUAUGUCGAAAGACGCUGUAUCCUGUUGGUAACGAGUCUUAUGCGGUCUUUCGCCUAAGGUUGCGUAUUGUUUGUUGUGUGUGUGCGCUCGCGCGCGUGUGUGCAGCUCUCUCUAUGUAACUGAUGAAGCGGAACAUGAGAGACCAACAGGUGCUGAAUGAUUAAAAGGUUCUGUCGAGGGCGAUGGUAUUGCGAGGCGAGAGGUGAAAUUCUAUGACCCCCGCAAGACCUCCUGAAGCGAAAGCGUCUGCCAAGGAUGUUUUCAUUAAUCACAGGCGUGGAGCCUGCGGCUUAAUUUGACUCAACACGGGCCAUCUCACCAGGCCAGCACUCUUGUACGAUUGACAGAUUGAAAGUUCUUUCUCGAUUCAGUGGAUGGUGGUGCAUGGCCGUUCUUAGUUGGUGGAGUGAUCUGUCUGGUUAAUUCCGAUAACGAACGAGACUCUCCCCUGCUAACUAGUCGGUUGGAUCUUGCGUCUGGAGAGUUGUGUUCUUACUUGCGCGCGUUGGUUGUGUGUGUGGGUGUGUGUGGUGUGUGUUGCUUUGCACUCGUGUAUUGUGAUAUAUAUUGCGCGCGCUUGUGCUCCUCUAGCGAUGCGUCUUUGUGAUAUUCACACUCCAAGUCCACCGCUUACUCGAAAUGAGUGAUGUUUAACGGCAAAGCUAUAUGUGUAAAACUCUUCUUAGAGGAAUUCACGGUUCUGAAACCGUAAGAAACUGAGAGCAAUAACAGGUCUGUAAUGCCCUUAGAUGUUCUGGGCCGCACGCGCGCUACAAUGCCGGGCUCAGCAGGUACUUAUCCUGUUCCGAGAGGAAUGGGUAAUCCUGUGAAAGCCCUUCAAACAAUAUUCAAAGAGUAUGUCACGCGCAAGCGAGGUGUAUCUCUUCCUUGGCUUGCUUGGGCCUGGGGCUUGCAAUUCUUUCCCACAAACGAGGAAUGCCUAGUAGCGGCGGAUCACUGAGUUCGCUGUGACUCAGUCCCUGCCCUUUGUACACACCGCCCGUCGCUACUACCGAUUGGGUGUACCAGUGAGAUCUUCGGACUGGCGAGCCUUGCGUUACUCUUAACUGAGCGCGCAAGUGUGUGCGACGGGAAGAGGCUCGAACUGGUGCACUUAGMGGAAGUAAAAGUCGUAAC